ACCAUAACCAAAAGUGAUAGGUCAUCUUGCAAACAAAUUCUCAGUAGUUUAUUUGCGUUCCCAUAACAAACCCACACGGCUUAAACAAGCUAAAUUUUAAGCAUUUUUGUUGGGUGAGGAGUUUCUAUUUGAGAGGGUUUCACUGGGUAUGUGGUAAAUAUGGUUGCAGUUUAGCAGAUAGAGUGAAGACUAAGAUUACUCUUUUAUUAAAAAAGACACGUUACCAAAAAAAUUGUGAGGGGGCUAUUUUCACAGAGACCAUGGCAGUUCAUAAAUAUUUGUGGGGUAGAUUUUACGCUACUCAAAAUGCUGUGAAGUCUCAUUCUCUGUUUUUAACAGCCACCGGCCAACUGCCACACAACUUCCUCUUCAUCUUUCUCAAGUGCCCAUCAUUUUUUUCCAUAGUGAUGAUAAUAAUCCAAUGCAGAAAAGAAAGAUUUCACAGACAGAUUGAUUGAAGAUAAUGCUUUGGUAAGGAUUAUCUUCAAAACUGUCUGUCUGUCUGUCUUAUCUGCCACUUCUUUCUUCUGUUUGUCUUGUUCCUUUAAUGGGUAGUAAGUGGGUGGACAAAAUCAUUUCGCCAUUGAAGAAGGUGUGGGAAGGGAUUCACAAGAGAAUCCAUGCUGCUCGCAAGAAGAGUCGUGGAAUCUACAUUCUAUAUGACGAUGUUAGGUCUUGCGGAUAUGAAGAUGUUCAUGUGAUGUGGUCUAUUUUAGUGGACAAGGAAUACCCAGUACUCAAAUCCUGAUUCAGAUAGGAAGGCAUUACUACAGUGGGUUUACUUUUUUGUAUUAGGAAAAAAGAAGAGUUUUUCUGUAUAUAAAAUAUACAAAGUACUGACUUACAGAAAUGAAAGAAUGGAUGUCUGUGAAUUUUGUAUAAGAAAGUCAAAGUUGUUUGCCAUUAUAAUUAUGAUCAUGUAAUCUAAUCGAAUUAAAACUAA